rnacentral:tRNA from 1 species
UCCCUGAAGGACUAGUGGUUAGGCCACAGUGCUUUCACCACUGCAGCCUGGGUUCAAUUCCCAGCCAAGGAA